rnacentral:rRNA from 1 species
GAUGGAUUCUGAGACACAAAUCCAGGCCCUACGGGGCGCAGCAGGCGCGAAAACUUUACAAUGCGAGAAAUCGUGAUAAGGGAACCCCGAGUGCCCGUAAAUUCGGGCUGUCCAUCAGCGUAAAAAACUGGUGAAGAAAGGGCCGGGCAAGACCGGUGCCAGCCGCCGCGGUAAUACCGGCGGCUCGAGUGGUGGCCACUAUUACUGGGCUUAAAGCGUCCGUAGCUGGAUUGUUAAGUCUCUUGGGAAAUCCGCCGGCUUAACCGGCGGGCGUUCAGGAGAAACUGGCAAUCUAGGGACCGGGAGAGGUGAGAGGUACUCCAGGGGUAGGAGUGAAAUCCUGUAAUCCUUGGGGACCACCUGUGGCGAAGGCGUCUCACUAGAACGGCUCCGACAGUGAGGGACGAAAGCUGGGGGAGCAAACCGGAUUAGAUACCCGGGUAGUCCCAGCUGUAAACGAUGCGCGUUAGGUGUAUCGGUGACCACGAGUCAUCGAGGUA